rnacentral:rRNA from 1 species
GCGUUAUCCGGAUUCACUGGGUUUAAAGGGUGCGUAGGUGGGUCUGUAGGUCAGCGGUGAAAUCUCCGAGCUUAACUUGGAAACUGCCAUUGAUACUAUAGAUCUUGAAUGCCGUGGAGGUGAGCGGAAUAUGUCAUGUAGCGGUGAAAUGCUUAGAUAUGACAUAGAACACCAAUUGCGAAGGCAGCUCACUACACGAAUAUUGACACUGAGGCACGAAAGCGUG